UAGGGAAUCUUCGGCAAUGGACGGAAGUCUGACCGAGCAACGCCGCGUGAGUGAAGAAGGUUUUCGGAUCGUAAAGCUCUGUUGUAAGAGAAGAACGAGUGUGAGAGUGGAGAGUUCACACUGUGACGGUAUCUUACCAGAAAGGGACGGCUAACUACGUGCCAGCAGCCGCGGUAAUACGUAGGUCCCGAGCGUUGUCCGGAUUUAUUGGGCGUAAAGCGAGCGCAGGCGGUUAGAUAAGUCUGAAGUUAAAGGCUGUGGCUUAACCAUAGUACGCUUUGGAAACUGUUUAACUUGAGUGCAAGAGGGGAGAGUGGAAUUCCAUGUGUAGCGGUGAAAUGCGUAGAUAUAUGGAGGAACACCGGUGGCGAAAGCGGCUCUCUGGCUUGUAACUGACGCUGAGGCUCGAAAGCGUGGGGAGCAAACAGGAUUAGAUACCCUGGUAGUCCACGCCGUAAACGAUGAGUGCUAGGUGUUAGACCCUUUCCGGGGUUUAGUGCCGCAGCUAACGCAUUAAGCACUCCGCCUGGGGAGUACGACCGCAAGGUUG
rnacentral:rRNA from 1 species